rnacentral:rRNA from 1 species
AUUGAACGCUGGCGGCAGGCCUAACACAUGCAAGUCGAGCGAUCGGCGGACGGGUGAGUCAUGUAUGGGGACUCCCCGAUAGAGGGGGAUAACUACUGGAAACGGUAUAUAAUACCCCAUACUAUCGUAUAACCCCUAGGGGUUUAGCUAGUAGGUGAGGUAAUGGUUCACCUAGGCGACGAUCCCUAGCUGGUCUGAGAGGAUGAUCAGACAGACUGGGACUGAGAAACGGCCCAGACUCCUACGGAGGCAGCAGUGGGGAAUAUUGCACAAUGGGCGCAAGCCUGAUGCAGCCAUGCCGCGUGUAUGAAGAAGGCCUUAGGGGUGUAAAGUACUUUCAGUCGGGAGGCGUUACCGACAGAAGAAGCACCGGCUAACUCCGUGCCAGCAGCCGCGGUAAUUC